rnacentral:rRNA from 1 species
AGUUUGAUCCUGGCUCAGGAUGAACGCUAGCUACAGGCUUAACACAUGCAAGUCGAGGGGCAGCAUGGUCUUAGCUUGCUAAGGCCGAUGGCGACCGGCGCACGGGUGAGUAACACGUAUCCAACCUGCCGUCUACUCUUGGACAGCCUUCUGAAAGGAAGAUUAAUACAAGAUGGCAUCAUGAGUCCGCAUGUUCACAUGAUUAAAGGUAUUCCGGUAGACGAUGGGGAUGCGUUCCAUUAGAUAGUAGGCGGGGUAACGGCCCACCUAGUCUUCGAUGGAUAGGGGUUCUGAGAGGAAGGUCCCCCACAUUGGAACUGAGACACGGUCCAAACUCCUACGGGAGGCAGCAGUGAGGAAUAUUGGUCAAUGGGCGCAGGCCUGAACCAGCCAAGUAGCGUGAAAGAUGACUGCCCUAUGGGUUGUAAACUUCUUUUAUAAAGGAAUAAAGUCGGGUAUGUAUACCCGUUUGCAUGUACUCUAUGAAUAAGGAUCGGCUAACUCCGUGCCAGCAGCCGCGGUAAUACGGAGGAUCCGAGCGUUAUCCGGAUUUAUUGGGUUUAAAGGGAGCGUAGAUGGAUGUUUAAGUCAGUUGUGAAAGUUUGCGGCUCAACCGUAAAAUUGCAGUUGAUACUGGAUAUCUUGAGUGCAGUUGAGGCAGGCGGAAUUCGUGGUGUAGCGGUGAAAUGCUUAGAUAUCACGAAGAACUCCGAUUGCGAAGGCAGCCUGCUAAGCUGCAACUGACAUUGAGGCUCGAAAGUGUGGGUAUCAAACAGGAUUAGAUACCCUGGUAGUCCACACGGUAAACGAUGAAUACUCGCUGUUUGCGAUAUACGGCAAGCGGCCAAGCGAAAGCGUUAAGUAUUCCACCUGGGGAGUACGCCGGCAACGGUGAAACUCAAAGGAAUUGACGGGGGCCCGCACAAGCGGAGGAACAUGUGGUUUAAUUCGAUGAUACGCGAGGAACCUUACCCGGGCUUAAAUUGCAGAUGAAUUACGGUGAAAGCCGUAAGCCGCAAGGCAUCUGUGAAGGUGCUGCAUGGUUGUCGUCAGCUCGUGCCGUGAGGUGUCGGCUUAAGUGCCAUAACGAGCGCAACCCUUGUUGUCAGUUACUAACAGGUUCCGCUGAGGACUCUGACAAGACUGCCAUCGUAAGAUGUGAGGAAGGUGG